ensembl:ncRNA Y54E10A.26 ncRNA
CACACAAUGAUCGUGAAGAGAGAGACUGUUUCCAAAAGACACACUUAGACAAACGAAAUAACGCGGAGAAUAGAGGCGCCGAGAAGAGUAGACAACAUUUGCGAAAGACGGUCCAACAAGGCGUGUGUUGCUGAUGUGAAAAAUAGGCGCGCAAUGGAUUCGUAGAGACAGAGAGAGAGGCCCGUCCCGAUCCGCCUGCCUGCGGGCACACAGAAUCAUUGUUGCUGAUGCUGCUGUUGUUGGGGCUGCUGCGCAAAGUGAUUCUUCGCGACGCGGGUGGGCGCC